rnacentral:lncRNA from 1 species
GCUUGCCCAGCUGAGGCAUUGGAGCAGGGCAUUUUGAUAGUGGCUGGAGGGCAGGCAGCUCAACCUCUAAACCCCCCUGGUCUGGGCACCAAGUCCUGUCCUGGGCACGGGACACAGUCCUCCAGCGAGACCAAACCCAGCUUCUCUACAGCACCAGGAAGAAGGCAAGCUGGGCCACCAGGGCGCGGCCCCAGGAAGGAAAAUCCUCCAUGGUCCUGUUGACAGAUGUGGUAUCAAAUGAAUUGUUCUCUGCUUAGACACGACUUUGAUAUUUAUUGGUUCAAAUUGCUCGGCUGACUCAGUCUUGCUGAGCCCUGAAGCAUGGCAUUGAGAAGCUGCCUAAGAAGGAGGCAGAUCCAUCAGCCUGGGUGCCCGACUGAUUACCCUGAGCAGAGCUCCCCAGCCCACCUGUGAUGGACGCAUGGAGCUUGAGCAAGGAAUAAAUAUUCGUUGCUGGACUCUGAUUACACUGGACCUAUCCAAGAUCUGAGAUCAUCAACUCAUCUCAAAAUCCUUAAGCUGACCACAGCAGCAUCGUCCCUUUUGCAGUGUAAGUUCCCCUCCAGGUUUGCACAGCAUCUGCUGAAGUCUCCACUAGAAACUCAAUGGAAGGUCCCCACCGGAAACUGAAAGUCUCCUAGAGUGGCUUUGAGUUGCGGUUUCACCCUCCCUGCAGAUCCACAGGGGAGGCUGGGGCAGAUGGAAAAUACCAACUUGAUGGUCUGUGGCCACACCAUGCUGCUCCCCAAGGCCCCUCAGAAUUUCACUGCCCAAUAUGGUAGCGCCCAGCCUGAAACGUGGCCAGUGUGAAUUGAGAUGGGCUGGAAAUGCACCAGACUUCCAAGAGCUGGACAAAAACCAUAUACUUUCCAUCCAGCUGUUUGGCAUUGGAUACUGCUGCCUCUGCUUGACUUGAGAAUGUGUGAGAAAAGCUGUGUUUAGACAACUGAAAACCAUGAGCUUGAAAGUAGUGGGGGCACACUCUUGGAGACUCCAGUUGCUCACCAGCUUGGACAAACCACUGGACUCAAAUGAUCAGGUAGAAAUUCAUCACUGGAGAGAACACAGUGGAAUGGCUUCAGCGAAAACUCACUCUGAAGGUCUUCAGGGCAACUUUAAGACUUGCCCCUGGCCGGGCACAGUGGCUUAUGCCUAUAAUCCCAGCACUUUGGGAGGCCGAGGCGGGUGGAUCACCUGAGGUCAGGAGUUCAAGACCAGCCUGGCCAAUAUGGCGAAACCCUGUCUCUACUAAAAAUCCAAAAAAUUAGCCGGGCGUGGUCGUGGGCGCCUGUAAUCCCAGCAACUCGAGAGGCUGAGGCAGGAGAAUUGCCUGAACCCGGGAGGCAGAGUUUGAAGACAGCCGAGAUUGCACCACUGGGCAACAAGAGCAAAACUCCAUCUCAAAAAAAAAAAAAAAAAAAAAAAUACUUGCCCCGGCUUUUUGUGUGAUGGACUUUCUAUUUACAGACGUGAUAUUUAUCUAUGACUUUACUCAGAGUCUGGCUCAUAGACCAGAAGGACUGGUAUCUCCUGGAGCUUGCAGGAAAUGCAAAAUCUCAAACCCCUGUAUUAGUCAGGGUUCUCCAGAGAAGUAGAGCCAAUGGGAUAGAGACAGGGAUAGGGAUGAUAGAGAUGGAGAUAGAGGUAGAGAUCCAUUGAUUCCUCUGUUAAUAAAUUGGCUCAUGCAGUUGUGACAAUUUCGAAAUCUGCAAGGUAUGUCAGCAAGCUGGAGACCCAGGGAACAGUUGAUGUUGCACCUUGAGUACAAAGGCAGUGUGUCUGGAGCCAUAAUAUCUUCUUGUUAGGAAGACUUUGGUCUUUUCUCUUCUGGCCUUCAACUGCUUGGGUGAGGCCCGUCCCCACUACAGAAGACAAUAGUCUGUUCUACUCAGAGUCUACUGAUUUAAAUGCUCAUCUCAUCCCAAAAAAUACCCUCACAGCAACAUUUAGCCUGUGCAUUUGACCAAACAACUGGGUACCAUGCCCCCCCUCCCAAGUUGACACACAAAAUUGACCAUCAUACCCUCCCCACCCCCAGUCUUACUGAAUGAGAGAGAAUCUGUGCUUCAACAAGAUCCCCAGAAGAGGUAUAAGCGCAGGGAAGUCUGAGAAGCACCACCUUUGAGGCUUAUCCAGGAUGCCCACAUGAGCCUUCUCUGGAUAUGUCAGAUCCCCUUCCUGGCCCCCUAGACACCUCCUCCACUCCCCAAACUUGGAAGCAACAUUGUGGGGAAGCAGGCAGUGAGGCGCUCAGUCUACCACGUUGUGAGAUACACAGCUCCAUCUGUGUAUCAUGAUUUGAUCCAAGGGAAAACAAAAGAUCCAGAAACAUAAGUACUUUUUUGUGAGCUCUCAAAAACUUCCUGUGACAAGAUCAGGUCGUUGAUGCGAGAGCCACACUUGUUUCUUUUUCCUCUUUAUUCUCCACCUCUGACAUAAUACUUAGCAUAAAAAAAAAUCCAAUAAACACCACUGAAUCAAUUAUCUAAGCCUCAGUUUCCCUCUUGUAAUAUGUACUUACCUGGUUGUGGUAGGAAAGACACCAGGCAUGAGAAACACUUAAAAGCCCAGGACCCUGAGCUGGGCACAUGGUAGGUACUCAGGAAGUCAUUGCCGAGUGUUCAGUGCAUGCUUGUUGAAUGAGUAAAUGAGGUCAGGCUUCAGCAUGCAAACACUCGCUAUAAAGCAGGAACCCUGUGCCCUGAGUGCACAAAAUAGAUAUCGGUGAGUGCAUAUGGGGGCAGUGAGUGUAUGGAUUGGAUAUAGGUGGGUGUAUAUGGUGAGGAGUAUGGAUUGGAUACAGGUGGGUGUAUACAGAGGGGAGUGAGUGUAUGGAUUGGAUACAGGUGGGUGCAUAUGCGGGGGGGGGGUGGCGUGAGUUUAAGAAUUGGAUACAGGUGGGUGCAUUUGGGGGCGUGAGUGUAUGCAUUGGAUACAGGUGGGUGUAUAUGGGAGGGUAAGCGUGUGGAUUGGAUAUAGGUGGGUGCAUAUGGGAGGGUGAGUAUAUCGAUUGGAUAUAGAUGGGUGCAUAUGGGAGGGUGAGCGUAUGGAUUGGAUACAGGUAGGUGCAUAUGGAAGGGUGAGUGUAUGGAUUGGAUACAGGUGGGUGCAUAUGGGGGGAGUGAGUUUAUGAACUGGAUACAGGUGGGUGAAUUUGGGGGAGUGAGUGUAUGGAUUGGAUACAGGUGGGUGCAUAUGGGAGGGUGAGCAUAUGGAUUGGAUAUAGGUGGGUGCAUAUGGGAGGGUGAGCAUAUGGAUUGGAUAUAGAUGGGUGCAUAUGGGAGGGUGAGCGUAUGGAUUGGAUACAGGUGGGUGCAUAUGGGAAGGUGAGCGUAUGAACUGGAUAUAGGUGGGUGCACAUGGGAGGGUGAGUGUAUGGAUUGGAUAUAGGUGGGUGCAUAUGGGAGGGUGAGCAUAUGGAUUGGAUAUAGGUGGGUGCAUAUGGGAGGGUGAGUGUAUGGAUUGGAUAUAGGUGGGUAUAUAUGGGAGAGUGAGCAUAUGGAUUGGAUAUAGGUGGGUGCAUAUGGGGGACAGUGAAUGUCUGGAUUGGAUACAGGUGGGUGCAUAUUGGGGGAGUGAGUGUCUGGAUUAGAUACAGGUGGAUGCACAUGGGAGGAAUGAGUGUACAGAACGAAUACAGGUGGAUGCAUAUAUUGGGAGUGAGUAUACAGAGAGGAUACAGGUGGAUUGAGUUGUUACAACCAACGACAGGAAGCACAUGCAAGGCUCUAGGCAUUGCACAAAGCACUCCAUAGGCAAAAUCACACUGGCGCCAAUAGCAAUCCUGGGAGAUGUACUCAUUAUUAAUAAUAUUGUUGUCAUUUUAUAGAGAAGGAACACAGGCUCAGACAUCAGUGCCAUAUCUGAAGACAUUCAGCUAAUAACAGGAUGGAGUCCAAUCUGGUAAUGCUUUUUUUCUAACUUUAAGAUCUCCUACCACUCCUUUCUUUUUGAAAGGAGAUAGAAGUGAGAUAGAGAAAACAGAGACAGAGAGAGUGUGUACACACCUGUGCCUGGGUGUCUUUGCUGGUGUGUGCACACCUGUGCCUGGGUGUCUUUGCUGGUGUGUGCACAUGUGUCUACAUGUGUGGUCGUGAGAGUACACACAGGGGCUGGAGGGUGGGGAAGGGCUUAAUCUAAUCCUGAAAGUGCCAGCAGAACUCUUGGGUGUCCCUCAAAGUCAAGCUUCUUUCCAGGUCAUCGAAGUUUUCACUUGGGUAAUAAUGCACGCAUAAUUAACUGAACAAAUAUAAUGAAUCUAUCUGUAGUGACAUGAUAGUUGGUGCUGAAUCCUAUUAGAGCACAUUUAAUUAAAAAUGCAUUAAACCUUCAAGCUUCUAAACACACCCUGCGCUUCUUCAAAGCCGCCCCUCCGUUAAAGUCUUCCCCACUAUUAACUAUGAGUCAGCCUGUGACCCUUUGGGCAUGACGGGGUGAGGUGAAGUGGCUCUUAAAUGCCUGUGCCAGUAUAUCACAGGCACUAAUGGAUUUAAAUCAGGGAGAUUAAUUCCAUUCAUUCGGCUCCUCAUUUCAGAAACAACUGUCACGCUGAGCCUAAUUGCUGAAGAUGGUUGAAGGCACCAGGAGGCUGGAGUUUCCUGGAGGUGGUUUGUGGCCAACCGUCAAUUACUUGGGCUGCUGUGCAGUGGGGAUAGAAGGAUGAUUAGAAUCCACAGACAACCCAUUGGCCUUUGUUUACCAUUAACUUCUGUUUUCUCCACCAGCCAAGCUCCUCCAGACCCAGGAGAUGGCUCUUCCCUCUGUGUAGCACACUCUUUCCAGUCAAGGGGUCUUGCACUGCUAUUUCCCCUUCUGCUUUGCUUGGUUCAUUCUUACUGACCCUCCAAAUACUGAAGGAAUGAAUGGAGAAAUAAGUAAAUGAGAGAUGUGGCCAAGAGUCUCCAAGAGAGGAAAUUAAAAAAUCCUAUACCUGUGAGGAACUGGCCCACUUGCAAAAGGCGGACUCAUUUGUCACUGUGUUUGCUGGCUGCUCGCACCACACAGUUUCCAGCCUAGGCAUUAUUUCCAACCUCUUUUUCCAAAGGGUCUUUCUAAGGUACAGAAAAUGGACAUAAAAUCGCCCAACGUAGUUGAGAGGUAAGGAGUAAAAGCCGGAAUUUGAACUCCUAAUCUCCUGCCACGAUUUCAUGCUGCCUCUGGGUAAUCUCCCAGCACGUUGCUUAAUCAGCUGCUGAGUCAUUG